rnacentral:rRNA from 1 species
UACCUGCAGCUCUAGUGGUGACCGCUAUUAUUGGGCCUAAAACGUCCGUAGCCGGUUUAAUAAAUGCCUGGGUAAAUCGUGUAGCUUAACUAUACGAAUUCCGGGUAGACUGUUAAACUUGAGACCGGGAGAAGUUAGAGGUACUCCUGGGGUAGAGGUGAAAUUCUGUAAUCCUAGGGGGACCACCAGUGGCGAAGGCGUCUGACUAGAACGGAUCUGACGGUGAGGGACGAAGCCCGUGGGGCGCAAACCGGAUUAGAUACCCGGGUAGUCCAGGGUGCAAACGCUGCUUGCUUGAUGUUAGUCGGGCUCCGAGCCCGAUUAGUGUCGGAGAGAAGUUGUUAAGCAAGCUGCCUGGGAAGUACGGUCGUAAGACUAGAAACUUAAAGGAAUUGGGCGGGGGAGCACAGCGAACGGGGUGGAGCGUGGCGGUUU